CUCUUGGGUCUGAUUUUACCACUUCAGCAAUAUUUGUCUAAUGUAAUCCUUCACUUCACUGCUCUUUUGAAUAACUAUUCCAGAAAACACAUUCAUAGAAGUUCCUGUUAAUUCCCAGGAAAUACUUUUAACUGAAAAGCUCUUCUUUUCAACUAGAUUCCUGAACUAUUUUAUAUAAAGACUGCUAUAUCCUUUUGCUCUUCAUUCCUAUAAUAAAUAAA
rnacentral:lncRNA from 1 species